CCCUUAGAUGUUCUGGGCUGCACGCGCGCUACACUGAUGCACUCAACGAGUUUACGACCUUGCCCGAUAGGGUUGGGUAAUCUUUUUAAAAUGCAUCGUGAUGGGGAUAGAUUAUUGCAAUUAUUAAUCUUCAACGAGGAAUUCCUAGUAAGCGCGAGUCAUCAGCUCGUGCUGAUUACAUCCCUGCCCUUUGUACACACCGCCCGUCGCUCCUACCGAUUGAGUGCUCAGGUGAAUAAUUCGGACUGCAGCAAUGUUUGGAUCCCGAACGUUGCAGCGGAAAGUUUAGUGAACCUUAUCACUUAGAGGAAGGAGAAGUCGUAACA
rnacentral:rRNA from 1 species